UUAAAGAAGAGUGAAAGAGGAAAUAAGCAACAAAGCUCUUCAUCCAGAGUUGAGCCUUCACAACAUGUCCAAGAAGGAAAGGAUGAAGAGACAUCUGAACACUGCCAAAGCCCUGAAAAUGUUUAACAACUUGGGCAUUGGUGAUUCUGAUGGAGGCUGUACAUCAGAGCUCGGAAAUGACAGCGAUCUUUCCUGGGUACACGAAAACACCUCCUCAGAGAGUGACACAGAGCCUGUACCGAGGAAAAAGAGAUGACUUUUCCUGGCAACUACAGCAUAUAACAGUCUAGGCCUCCCUGAAUCAGCUCUUGAGCCCACUGGAGUGCUUAGCUCGUCACUGGUGUCAUCUCAGCCAGAGGCGGCUGUGGAAAAGGGGAAGGAUGGGGCGGUGUGGAUGGUCCUUCAGGCAGAUGGACAUCCAGGGAGAAAGCAUAGCCAAAAUGUCCUGAUGGAAGCUGCUGGCCCCCAGCAAACACAAAACGCAACGUCGAGGAUGCGCUCACUGCCUUUGUGUAUGUUUUUGAUGAUGGCAUGCUGAAGCACGUCAGGGACCACACUGUAGCUGAGGCUCAUCGGGAGAACGGUGACAGCUCGUGGGACCUGCCAGUGGCUGAACUCAAAGCAUUCAUAUCGCUGUUGUAUGUCUGUGGCACACAGUGCGCUAAAAACAUUAAACUCAAGACUCUGUAGUCUGUGAAAUGGGGCUUCCCACUUUUCACACAAACGAUAGUAAGAAAUCACUUCAGGGACUUAAUGGGGUCCCUGCGAUUUGAUAGAAAGGAGACCCAAUGUGUGCGUCUGCAGGACGACAAGUUUGCCCUGGUGUGGGCCACUUGGGACCGGUUCAUCCAGAACAGUAUAGCCUGCUACAAACCCGGCAGCAUCAUCACGAUUGAUUAGCAGCUGUUCCCCACAAAGGCCUCCUGUAAGUUUACCCAAUAUAUGGGGAAUAAGCCUGAUAAAUUUGGCAUCAAAUUUGAUUGGCUGUAGAUGUCGACUCCAAAUAUAUGCUGAACGGGUCUCUAUAUCUGGGGAAGGAGGAGACGCGGAGCACAGGUCAGCUUGUGGGACCACAGACAAUUUCUUCACAUCCCUAAAACUGGCCACCACCUUACAGGCAAAGAAGAUGAGCCUGGUUGGCACUUUGGGUAAGCAAAAACAGGAGUUGCCCCCUUCCGUGAAACAGCAAGCAGAGCUGUUCAGUUCGAAGGUUCUGAAGUGUACUGAUGCAACUCUGAUGGUGCACCAGGGAAAGCCGAGGAAGAACGUCUGCAUCCUGAAUACUGUGCACACAGGUGUGGGCACCUUUAGUGGGGCAAAGUCAAAGCCAGAGUCCGUCACGUAUUAUAGCAACACGAAGUACGGCGUAGAUGUCCUGGACCAGAUGGCAAGGGCGUACUCAGUCAAAGGCGGUACGCGAAGAUGGCCAAUGGUGGUGUUCUACAACAUCCUCAACCUGGGAUCAGUGCCCACAUCUUAUUCCAGGAGUGCACCAGCAGAAUCAGUACUUAAUGUAAUAAGUUUAUAAAAUUUGUAUUAUAUAAUUGUAUGUUGUUUUAUUGUUCUAUUUCCUAAAGUUCUUUCUUGGCUCUUUUUUUUGGUUUUAUGUUAGAUUUUCAGCUUUUUCAAUUAUUAUUAUUUUUUUAUUAUAUAAUAUUAAGUGUUAAAAUAAAAUGUUUCAAUGAA